rnacentral:rRNA from 1 species
UGAGGAAUAUUGCCCAAUGGACGAAAGUCUGAGGCAGCGACGCCGCGUGGGUGAUGAAGGCCUUCGGGUCGUAAAGCCCUUUUCUGUGUGACGAGCAAGGACGGUAGCACAGGAAAAAGUCUCGGCUAACUACGUGCCAGCAGCCGCGGUAAAACGUAGGAGGCAAGCGUUAUCCGGAGUUACUGGGCGUAAAGCGUGCGUAGGCGGGUCGGUAAGUGGGUGGUGAAAGCGCCGGGCUAAACCGGGCGAGGUCCAUUCAGACUGCCAACCUAGAGGCGGAUAGAGGGGUGCGGAAUUCCGGGUGUAGCGGUGAAAUGUGUAGAGAUCCGGAGGAACACCAGUGCUGCAAACGGCGCCCUGGGUCCGAACUGACGCUGAGGCACGAAAGCGUGGGGAGCGAACG